rnacentral:miRNA from 2 species
GAUUUCAGUGGAGUGAAGUUCA